rnacentral:rRNA from 1 species
GAUGAACGCUGGCGGCGUGCCUAAUACAUGCAAGUAGAACGCUGAAGGGGGAGCUUGCUCUUCUGGAUGAGUUGCGAACGGGUGAGUAACGCGUAGGUAACCUGCCUGGUAGCGGGGGAUAACUAUUGGAAACGAUAGCUAAUACCGCAUGACAACAGUUAUUGCAUGAUAACUGUUUAAAAGGGGCAACUGCUCCACUACCAGAUGGACCUGCGUUGUAUUAGCUAGUUGGUGAGGUAACGGCUCACCAAGGCGAGGAUACAUAGCCGACCUGAGAGGGUGAUCGGCCACACUGGGACUGAGACACGGCCCAGACUCCUACGGGAGGCAGCAGUAGGGAAUCUUCGGCAAUGGACGGAAGUCUGACCGAGCAACGCCGCGUGAGUGAAGAAGGUUUUCGGAUCGUAAAGCUCUGUUGUAAGAGAAGAACGAGUGUGAGAGUGGAAAGUUCACACUGUGACGGUAUCUUACCAGAAAGGGACGGCUAACUACGUG